AACAUUGUGGACCCCACCUUUUUUUUUUAAUUGAUGGAUAAUGAAUGAACUUCGACAAAAAAAUGGGCUUUGGGCUUAUUGAUUUUCUGUUUAUUAGGUUUUGUAUCUGUCCAAAGUGGUGAAACGGACAAAGCUAAGAAGAUUAGGGAAGCCGCCAUCUUCACCAUCUCUUUCGUCGCUUGUGAUUCCCCUUCCGGCAAUCAGCUAUUAUGGCCGAUCUUUAAGGCUCUACGCACGUUUUGCGCCUACCAAACGCUUAGUUUCUCCUCUAACGCCUUCAGAGCUCUCAUAUAUAUAGAAUCCCUCGAGGUAAAAGCUCCAUCUUGUCUCAAACUUUUCUUUCUCAGUUUUCCGAUCGCUUUACUUUCUCAUAUCCGUCACGAAAAUGACUUAUCCAGCUGCUCCAGCCGCUUCAGCCGUCGUUCCCUACUCCACCUUCAACUCUCUCCGCCUUGGAAGGUCCACUCAGUCCAUUGUUGGUCGGCUCAUCCGAUUCUAGGAUUUCAGGAACAUUAACAAGAAUGGAGAGUUUAUGGACAUCACCAUUCUCCUCCUUGAUGAACUGGAUUCUGUGAUCUACGGUUUCAUCCAUGCAAUCUCCAAACAAAACAGGAAAACUAAAUGAAUUAUGUUUUUAGCAACCGAAUCUAAAAGAAAUAAAAAACAUCUUACUUAACAAAUUAAAACCUUUUCCUUUGCAGAUUCCGACGACGACGAAGCACCCGAGGACCAACGACAAUGGAAUGAUGCGGACGAAGCCUAACUGAUGGGGCAGAUCUCCUUAGACGGGGAGCCACUCGCCACGAUGCUUCCAGUUUCACCAUUCUUGAAACUCUUAUGAACCACAAAGCCAAUAUAAGAGCUAUGUUUCAAUCCAACGGCUGGAUUUUGUCACAGACCACCGCUAAGCCUGAAGAGGGAAGAGAAGUGGAGUGAUGCGUUUUGAAAGAUGGUUACUUGGAGUUUACAAGAUGAAGAUAGAACCCGUGACGAGGAAGACGAGGAGAAGUGUUACUUGGAAUAUCCUAACGUUGAGGAUGUAGACAAUGUGUGAUCUUAGCGAUGAAGAUUAGUGUAGCUUUAAUAUAUGCUACUACGGUCCUUGAGCUCCCUAACAAGUACUAGCAAACAAUGUGUAUUUUAAAAAAAUAAAAUAAUUUUGUAAUGCAAGUAGUUUGAAACUUUGAGUAUU